UGGGGAAUAUUGGGCAAUGGGGGCAACCCUGACCCAGCGACGCCGCGUGAGGGAAGAAGGCCUUCGGGUCGUAAACCGCUUUUGUACGUGAAGAAGCAGAUGACGGUAGCGUACGAAUAAGUCCCGGCUAACUACGUGCCAGCAGCCGCGGUAAUACGUAGGGGACGAGCGUUGUCCGGAAUUACUGGGCGUAAAGGGCGCGCAGGCUGCGCGUCGAGUCGGCUGUGAAAGAUCCGGGCUCAACCCGGUGAAGCGGUCGAGACCGACGAGCUGGAGUGCUGCAGAGGCAAGUGGAAUUCCCGGUGUAGCGGUGAAAUGCGUAGAUAUCGGGAAGAACACCGGUGGCGAAGGCGACUUGCUGGGCAGCAACUGACGCUGAGGCGCGAAAGCCAGGGGAGCGAACGGG
rnacentral:rRNA from 1 species